rnacentral:rRNA from 1 species
UUUGAUCCUGGCUCCAGGGAUGAACGCGGGGGGCGUGCUUAACACAUGCAAGUCGAACGAUGACUUUUGUGCUUGCACAAAAAUGAUUAGUGGCGAACGGGUGAGUAACACGUGAGUAACCUGCCCUUAACUUCGGGAUAAGCCUGGGAAACCGGGUCUAAUACCGGAUACGACGGAUUCCCGCAUGGGGGUCCGUGGAAAGCUUGAUGCGGUUUUGGAUGGACUCGCGGCCUAUCAGCUAGUUGGUUGGGGUAAUGGCCCACCAAGGCGACGACGGGUAGCCGGCCUGAGAGGGUGACCGGCCACACUGGGACUGAGACACGGCCCAGACUCCUACGGGAGGCAGCAGUGGGGAAUAUUGCACAAUGGGCGAAAGCCUGAUGCAGCGACGCCGCGUGAGGGACGAAGGCCUUCGGGUUGUAAACCUCUUUCAGCAGGGAAGAAGCGAAAGUGACGGUACCUGCAGAAGAAGCGCCGGCUAACUACGUGCCAGCAGCCGCGGUAAUACGUAGGGCGCAAGCGUUAUCCGGAAUUAUUGGGCGUAAAGAGCUCGUAGGCGGUUUGUCGCGUCUGCUGUGAAAGCCCGGGGCUCAACCCCGGGUCUGCAGUGGGUACGGGCAGACUAGAGUGCAGUAGGGGAGACUGGAAUUCCUGGUGUAGCGGUGAAAUGCGCAGAUAUCAGGAGGAACACCGAUGGCGAAGGCAGGUCUCUGGGCUGUAACUGACGCUGAGGAGCGAAAGCAUGGGGAGCGAACAGGAUUAGAUACCCUGGUAGUCCAUGCCGUAAACGUUGGGCAAUAGGUGUGGGGGACAUUCCACGUUUUUCCGCGCCGAAGCUAACGCAUUAAGUGCCCCCCUUGGGGAGUACGGCCGCAAGGCUGAAACUCAAAGGAAUGACGGGGGGCCCGCACAAGCAGUGGAUUAUGUGGUUUAAUUCGACGCAACGCGAAGAACCUUACCAGGACUUGACAUCCAACUAACGAAGUAGAGAUACAUUAGGUGCCCUUCGGGGAAAGUUGAGACAGGUGGUGCAUGGUUGUCGUCAGCUCGUGUCGUGAGAUGUUGGGUUAAGUCCCGCAACGAGCGCAACCCCUAUUGUUAGUUGCUACGCAAGAGCACUCUAGCGAGACUGCCGUUGACAAAACGGAGGAAGGCGGGGACGACGUCAAAUCAUCAUGCCCCUUAUGUCCUGGGCUACACACGUAAUACAAUGGCCGUCAACAAAGGGAAGCGAUACCGCGAGGUGGAGCAAAUCCCCAAAAACGGUCUCAGUUCGGAUUGCAGGCUGCAACUCGCCUGCAUGAAGCUGGAAUUGCUAGUAAUCGUGGAUCAGCA